rnacentral:rRNA from 1 species
AUAUCAAUAAGCGGAGGAAAAGAAACUAAACAAGGAUUCCCCUAGUAACGGCGAGUGAAGCGGGAAGAGCUCAAAUUUAAAAUCUGGUUUGCUUGCAAAUCCGAGUUGUAGUCUGAAGAAACGUUUUCCAUGAAAAUCGAGGCACAAGUCCUUUGGAACAGGGCAUCAUAGAGGGUGAGAAUCCCGUCCAUCGGUCUCGAAUCUUUCAUUUUGUGAUACGUUUUCUAAGAGUCAGGUUGUUUGGGAAUGCAGCCUAAAAUGGGUGGUAAAUUUCAUCUAAAGCUAAAUAUUGGCGAGAGACCGAUAGCGAACAAGUACCGUGAGGGAAAGAUGAAAAGCACUUUGGAAAGAGAGUUAACAGUGA